rnacentral:rRNA from 1 species
GAUGAACGCUGGCGGCGUGCCUAAUACAUGCAAGUCGAGCGAACGGACGAGAAGCUUGCUUCUCUGAUGUUGGCGGCGGACGGGUGAGUAACACGUGGAUAACCUACCUAUAAGACUGGGAUAACUUCGGGAAACCGGAGCUAAUACCGGAUAAUAUUUUGAACCGCAUGGUUCAAAAGUGAAAGACGGUCUUGCUGUCACUUAUAGAUGGAUCCGCGCUGCAUUAGCUAGUUGGUAAGGUAACGGCUUACCAAGGCAACGAUGCAUAGCCGACCUGAGAGGGUGAUCGGCCACACUGGAACUGAGACACGGUCCAGACUCCUACGGGAGGCAGCAGUAGGGAAUCUUCCGCAAUGGGCGAAAGCCUGACGGAGCAACGCCGCGUGAGUGAUGAGGGUCUUCGGAUCGUAAAACUCUGUUAUUAGGGAAGAACAUAUGUGUAAGUAACUGUGCACAUCUUGACGGUACCUAAUCAGAAAGCCACGGCUAACUACGUG